UUGAAAGGUUUUUUUUUUAUUUUUUUUUUAAACUUAUAAUAAUUUUCAUUUUUUUUAUUCUUCAGGUUAAAGAAACAGUAGGAGUUUUAAGCAAUAGUUCUAUAAUACAAUCAUAUUGCCACCUUGCGGAGAAUGUUUUUUUUUGUGUGGACAGACUGGUAAGAAUUUCAUUAGGUAGCAAAGUAUUU